AGUCCACACGAGCCUGCCUCCAGGAAGCUUCCUGGACCUUUCUUCUGCCACCCCCCUCCACCGCAGGCAGACGAUACUCCCUCCACACCAUUUCCUCUGAGUCAACGACCAGCCCAGCGAGUGGCAUGGAGGAGGUCAGCAGAAGCAGGAUCACAUACCCAUAACCUCACUCCCUGGCUGGCUGGAAGUCGGCACGCUGGCCCCUCUGGUAGGCAGUUCUCCCACCCUCCAAGUCAGCAGCUGGAGUAUGCACAGGGACAGGCACCCCCACUGAUGCUGUGGGGCGCCCCGUAGAGGUUCCAGCACUUUCCCCACAGCAGUAGGCUGAGUUUGGGCUUCCCCUCCCCUCCUCCUUCUCUCCCUCCCUCCCUUCUUCUUUGCAGGAACUGAGAGCCCCCUUUUACAGCCCCUCACUGCAGGCCCCAAGGGAGCCUGAGGCUGCCAGAAAUGACUGCUAAUACUUCCAGCCACAUUUACUGAAACCUUUUGACACUGGAGGAUAUUUUUAUGAGAUAAGUGCCCUGUGUCGGUACCAACUGGCAAGUUUCAUUGCUCACAUUUCAGUCCUGCAAAAAGCCUUUUUCAAUCACUGUCCGUGGCAACGAUAAACUUUAAUGGCUGAGGGAAAGCCUGCAGCUCAGGCGCUCUGUCCUUCCUGCCUCCCUGCCCCACACCAGCCAAACUCCCUCCCUUCUCUCUGCUGGGCCAGAGGCCGAAGCACAGGGGCCAAUAGAGUUGGGAGAGACAUCAUCCACCCCCACCUCACCUCCUUUAUUUUCCAACUUUGGUAGAUCGCAGGCUCUGGAGGCAUAGGAGAAACACCAGGGAAUCAAGAGAGGCCAAAACCCAGCCCAGUACAGAAGCAGACUCUCUGGGGUGGCUCCAGGGCACCAGCGUUUUAAAAAGCUCCCCAGUGGAUUCCAUCGGGCAGGGGGCGUUGAGAACAGCUGCGCCUCCUCCUGGAAAGGUGGGUCCCUCCUCCUGGGAAGGUGGGUCCUUCCUCAGUCACAGUGCCACUUCCCUUGGCAGGCCGCUCCAUGGCUCACACAUGUUCACACAGACCCUGUCCUGCACCCAGGAGGUGCCAGGCAGACGUUCUCCUGAUGGGAGAAAACCAAAACCCAGAGCUCGUGAGGUCACAGAAAGCCAGGGACCGACAGGCUCUCAGAGCCCAGGGCCCUGCCUUCCCACCAGAGCAGGCAGAGUUUAGAACGAGCAUCUGGGUGAAGACUGGUCCUGGGCUGCCCCCACAGCAGGCACAGGUUCAUGCUCAAGGAAUGAAGAAUGAGUGAAAGAAUAAAUCCAUGAAUGAUUUUACCUACAGUAACUGAUUCAGCCAUCUCAGUGUCCUACAGGUAAGGAUACUGCUUGGUGUUCCAAAUGCUCUUUCCAGAAGGGCCUAGAAUGUUCCAGAACUCAGGGGUCUCCAUCCUCCCAGUCACUCUUGGCACCAUUUCUAGAUACAUGCCCACUGCCCAUGGCUGUCCUCAUGGGAUAAACACAUGCCUGGGGAUGAGGUGAGCUGGGGGAGGGGGACAGCCUCCUCCCCACCCUUGGAUCACACUCCAUGCUUGUUAUAUUCCCCCAAAACUCUGCACUGCCCACCUGCCCCUCCCCAAUCUCCCCUUCCUGAAAGCCCACCUGCAGCAAUGAACCCCUGAGUUUCUUGGCCCAUGUGAAGUCACCACAGUCACCCGCCCGCUUCAUAAGUUCCUGGUCUUCAUCCCUCUGGAUCCUUGGGGAGGAACACAUCUGGGCUCAGCAGGAAAGAGGGGCAGAACAGCAGCAGCCAAGGGCAGGAAGCACAAAGGGGUUUGGGAAGGCUGCUUGUCACUUGGCUGUCACCACCCAGAUGUUACUGUGUGUUGUGUAGGUCACCCUGCAUCUCAAGUGGACAGAGACUCACCCACCUUGCACAGUACCCGCUCUGGAAAUGAAGGCAGGAUGUGAAAUAAAGGACCAGCGAGCUAAGUCUGACUCCAAGAGCCUGGCUAUUUUUUCUCAGGCAUCCUUAGCCAACCUGCCUGUGGUUAUGCCAAAGUCCAGGGAUCUAAGGCUGAGGGUCCUGGGGACAGUCAGUCAGAACUGACAGUGGGACUUUGUCUCUCUCAGUGAGGCCCAGGCCUGCCUGGGGGCUCUCAGGGGGAGGGUCACUAGCACCCAGAACCCACAAUCAAGAGGCUGGUGGACUGUUUAAAGAAACUGUCUGAAUUGCAAUUUUUUUUUUUUGAGAUGGAGUCUCACUCUGUCGCCCAAGCCUGAGUGUAGUGGCGUGAUCUCAGCUCACUGCAACCUUCGCCUCCUGGGUUCAAGCAAUUCUUCUAAGUGCCUGCCACUGUGCCCGGCUAAUUUUUGUAUUUUUACUAGAGAUCGUGUUUCACCAUGUUGUCCAGGCUGGUCUCGAACUCCUGACCUCAAGUAAUCCACCUGCCUCAGCCUCCCAAAGUGUUGGGAUUACAGGAAUGACCCACUGCGCCCGGCCCUGAAUUGCAUUAAAAAAAGUUUAUUCCCCCAUGUUGUCUGGCCCCAAAUCCUGCCAUGGAGAACUGGCUUCAAUAAAUGCCCCCUCUGCCAUUCAUCACUUGAGUCUCACUUCCCUCUCCUGCCUCAGCUCAUACCAUUUAUUACACCCACAGUCUCCAAAUGAACAACUUCUGCAACUUACAAACAUACUUGAGAGCUCCACCUGUCCUCCCCAAUCCAUCAAGGCAACAAAAUUCAUUUCUCCUUGGGAGCCUAAAGAAGCCCAGGCUUGGGGACUAAUUAAGCAUUUCCUUUGAAAUGCAUGCAUGCUGUAGAUUGCUGAGGGUGAACUCCAACCUCUAAUAAAAUAGGAACCAGAUGCCAGGAACAGGAGGUGCACAGCAUCCUGCUAUCAUGGCCAUCACCCAGGAGGGACCCGGCGAGGGGCAGCACAGCCUCUGGAGGGCUCUGGCUAAUGUCAAAGUUCAGGUUCACAGCACCAGCUGGAAUUUUUAUUUUGGCCAUCAUCUACAACAAGGAAUGAGUGCCUCCUGACACCCCCAUGAGCACACCAUACCUCCAGCCUUCAUUCCCCCUUCCCUCCUUAUUUUGCACACUCUGGGGAAUCUGGCUGGAGCUCUAAUUCUCCUGCAAAGCCUUCCUGAAAUACUCAAACCUUGAAGGGACUGUUUCCCCUCCCACUACACCCGAUGAGUACUGCAAAGAUACAGCCCUUGGCCACAGAGUGUCAAUUAUUAUAAUAUUAACCACCAUUGCUUCUUCUCUCACUGGACCCUAGGCUUUUCUUAUUAUUGUGUGUUUUCCCAGCAAGUCCUCUAUAGCCGG
rnacentral:lncRNA from 10 species